CUAAGCUCAUUAUUUUCGAAGAUGAUGUUGUUGGUUAUUUUUGUUUAGAAGGUGAUAUUGUUGGUUACUUUAUUUGUUGAAAAUGCUUAAGUGCCGAUGACUUUAAUAGUGAAUUAGUGUUUAGAAGGUGAUGUUGUUGGUGACUUUAUUUGUUGAAAAUGCUUAAGUGCCGAUGACUUUAAUAGUGAACUUUUGUUUAGAAGGUGAUGUUGUUGGUUACUUUAUUUGUUGAAAAUGGUUAAGUGCCGGUGACUUUAAAAGUGAACUUUUGUUUAGAAGGUGAUGUUGUUGGUUACUUUAUUUGUUGAAAAUGCUUAAGUGCUGGUGACUUUAAUAGUGAAUUAGUGUUUAGAAGGCGAUGUUGUUGGUGACUUUAUUUGUUAAAAAUGCUUAAGUUUUGGUGACUUUAAUAGUGAAUUAGUGUUUAGGAGGUGAUGUUGUUGGUGACUUUAUUUGUUGAAAAUGCUUUAGUGCCGGUGACUUUAUUUGUUGGUGACUGCUGUAUAUUAUUGUUGUGGUUGCAUGC
rnacentral:lncRNA from 1 species